GGUUAAGCGACUAAGCGUACACGGUGGAUGCCCUGGCAGUCAGAGGCGAUGAAGGACGUGCUAAUCUGCGAAAAGCGUCGGUAAGGUGAUAUGAACCGUUAUAGCCGGCGAUGUCCGAAUGGGGAAACCCAGUGCAAUUCGUUGCACUAUCGUUAACUGAAUACAUAGGUUAACGAGGCGAACCGGGGGAACUGAAACAUCUAAGUACCCCGAGGAAAAGAAAUCAACCGAGAUUCCCCCAGUAGCGGCGAGCGAACGGGGAGCAGCCCGGAGUCUGAAUCAGCUUGUGUGUUAGUGGAAGCGUCUGGAAAGUCGCAGGGUACAGGGUGAUACUCCCGUACACUAAAACAUACAGGCUGUGAACUCGAAGAGUAGGGCGGGACACGUGGUAUCCUGUCUGAAUAUGGGGGGACCAUCCUCCAAGGCUAAAUACUCCUGACUGACCGAUAGUGAACCAGUACCGUGAGGGAAAGGCGAAAAGAACCCCGGCGAGGGGAGUGAAAAAGAACCUGAAACCGUGUACGUACAAGCAGUAGGAGCCCACUUGUUGGGUGACUGCGUACCUUUUGUAUAAUGGGUCAGCGACUUAUAUUCUGUAGCAAGGUUAACCGUAUAGGGGAGCCGCAGGGAAACCGAGUCUUAACUGGGCGUUAAGUUGCAGGGUAUAGACCCGAAACCCGGUGAUCUAGCCAUGGGCAGGUUGAAGGUUGGGUAACACUAACUGGAGGACCGAACCGACUAAUGUUGAAAAAUUAGCGGAUGACUUGUGGCUGGGGGUGAAAGGCCAAUCAAACCGGGAGAUAGCUGGUUCUCCCCGAAAGCUAUUUAGGUAGCGCCUCGUGAAUUCAUCUUCGGGGGUAGAGCACUGUUUCGGCUAGGGGGUCAUCCCGACUUACCAACCCGAUGCAAACUACGAAUACCGAAGAAUGUUAUCACGGGAGACACACGGCGGGUGCUAACGUCCGUCGUGAAGAGGGAAACAACCCAGACCGCCAGCUAAGGUCCCAAAGUCAUGGUUAAGUGGGAAACGAUGUGGGAAGGCCCAGACAGCCAGGAUGUUGGCUUAGAAGCAGCCAUCAUUUAAAGAAAGCGUAAUAGCUCACUGGUCGAGUCGGCCUGCGCGGAAGAUGUAACGGGGCUAAACCAUGCACCGAAGCUGCGGCAGCGACACUAUGUGUUGUUGGGUAGGGGAGCGUUCUGUAAGCCGUUGAAGGUGGCCUGUGAGGGUUGCUGGAGGUAUCAGAAGUGCGAAUGCUGACAUAAGUAACGAUAAUGCGGGUGAAAAACCCGCACGCCGGAAGACCAAGGGUUCCUGUCCAACGUUAAUCGGGGCAGGGUGAGUCGACCCCUAAGGCGAGGCCGAAAGGCGUAGUCGAUGGGAAACAGGUUAAUAUUCCUGUACUUGGUGUUACUGCGAAGGGGGGACGGAGAAGGCUAUGUUGGCCGGGCGACGGUUGUCCCGGUUUAAGCAUGUAGGCGGAUGUUCCAGGUAAAUCCGGAACGUCACUAACGCUGAGGUGUGAUGACGAGGCACUACGGUGCUGAAGUGACAAAUGCCCUGCUUCCAGGAAAAGCCUCUAAGCAUCAGGUAACAUCAAAUCGUACCCCAAACCGACACAGGUGGUCAGGUAGAGAAUACCAAGGCGCUUGAGAGAACUCGGGUGAAGGAACUAGGCAAAAUGGUGCCGUAACUUCGGGAGAAGGCACGCUGAUGGUAAGUGAAGUGACUUGCUCAUGGAGCUGAAAUCAGUCGAAGAUACCAGCUGGCUGCAACUGUUUAUUAAAAACACAGCACUGUGCAAACACGAAAGUGGACGUAUACGGUGUGACGCCUGCCCGGUGCCGGAAGGUUAAUUGAUGGGGUUAUCCUCGCGGAGAAGCUCUUGAUCGAAGCCCCGGUAAACGGCGGCCGUAACUAUAACGGUCCUAAGGUAGCGAAAUUCCUUGUCGGGUAAGUUCCGACCUGCACGAAUGGCGUAAUGAUGGCCAGGCUGUCUCCACCCGAGACUCAGUGAAAUUGAACUCGCUGUGAAGAUGCAGUGUACCCGCGGCAAGACGGAAAGACCCCGUGAACCUUUACUAUAGCUUGACACUGAACACUGGUCCUUGAUGUGUAGGAUAGGUGGGAGGCUUUGAAGUGUGGACGCCAGUCUGCAUGGAGCCAUCCUUGAAAUACCACCCUUUAAUGGCUGGUGUUCUAACGUGGGCCCCUAAUCGGGGUUGCGGACAGUGUCUGGUGGGUAGUUUGACUGGGGCGGUCUCCUCCUAAAGAGUAACGGAGGAGCACGAAGGUCAGCUAAUCCUGGUCGGACAUCAGGAGGUUAGUGCAAUGGCAUAAGCUGGCUUGACUGCGAGCGUGACGGCGCGAGCAGGUGCGAAAGCAGGUCAUAGUGAUCCGGUGGUUCUGAAUGGAAGGGCCAUCGCUCAACGGAUAAAAGGUACUCCGGGGAUAACAGGCUGAUACCGCCCAAGAGUUCAUAUCGACGGCGGUGUUUGGCACCUCGAUGUCGGCUCAUCACAUCCUGGGGCUGAAGUAGGUCCCAAGGGUAUGGCUGUUCGCCAUUUAAAGUGGUACGCGAGCUGGGUUUAGAACGUCGUGAGACAGUUCGGUCCCUAUCUGCCGUGGGCGCUGGAGAAUUGAGGGGGGCUGCUCCUAGUACGAGAGGACCGGAGUGGACGCAUCACUGGUGUUCGGGUUGUCAUGCCAAUGGCAUUGCCCGGUAGCUAAAUGCGGAAGAGAUAAGUGCUGAAAGCAUCUAAGCACGAAACUUGCCCCGAGAUGAGUUCUCCCUGACUCCUUGAGAGUCCUGAAGGAACGUUGAAGACGACGACGUUGAUAGGCCGGGUGUGUAAGCGCAGCGAUGCGUUGAGCUAACCGGUACUAAUGAACCGUGAGGCUUAACCUU
rnacentral:rRNA from 1 species